UACACUCCUACGGGAGGCAGCAGUGGGGAAUAUUGCACAAUGGGCGCAAGCCUGAUGCAGCCAUGCCGCGUGUAUGAAGAAGGCCUUCGGGUUGUAAAGUACUUUCAGCGGGGAGGAAGGCGAUAAGGUUAAUAACCUUGUUGAUUGACGUUACCCGCAGAAGAAGCACCGGCUAACUCCGUGCCAGCAGCCGCGGUAAUACGGAGGGUGCAAGCGUUAAUCGGAAUUACUGGGCGUAAAGCGCACGCAGGCGGUCUGUCAAGUCGGAUGUGAAAUCCCCGGGCUCAACCUGGGAACUGCAUUCGAAACUGGCAGGCUAGAGUCUUGUAGAGGGGGGUAGAAUUCCAGGUGUAGCGGUGAAAUGCGUAGAGAUCUGGAGGAAUACCGGUGGCGAAGGCGGCCCCCUGGACAAAGACUGACGCUCAGGUGCGAAAGCGUGGGGAGCAAACAGGAUUAGAAACCCCAGUAGUCCCAUGA
rnacentral:rRNA from 1 species